UUUAACGGCCGCGGUAUCCUAACCGUGCAAAGGUAGCGUAAUCACUUGCCCUUUAAAUAAGGGCCUGUAUGAAUGGCUAAAUGAAGACUAACCUGUCUCCUUUGACUAAUCAGUGAAACUGAUCUACCAGUACAAAAGCUGGUAUAUAAACAUAAGACGAGAAGACCCUGUGGAGCUUUAAAUUUAAGCCAUAAACCACACCUCAAAUGUACAUCAAAUGGCCCUACAUUUUAAGUUGGGGCGACUUCGGAAUCAAACAAAACUUCCGAGCAUAAGAUAAAAUCUUACCAAGACCUACAAGUCAAAGCAAAAUAUUGACCCAGUAUAACUGACUAUCGAACCAAGUUACCCCAGGGAUAACAGCGCAAUCUUCUUCAAGAGUCCCUAUCGACAAGAAGGUUUACGACCUCGAUGUUGGAUCAGGACACCCAAAUGGUGCAGCCGCUAUUAAAGGUUC
rnacentral:rRNA from 1 species